rnacentral:misc_RNA from 1 species
UCCGGUUUGUCACCGGCAGUCUCCCUAGAGUGCCCAACUAAAUGAUGGCAAAUAAGGACAAGGGUUGCGCUCGUUACGGGACUUAACCCAACAUCUCACGACACGAGCUGACGACAGCCAUGCAGCACCUGUCUCAGAGCUCCCGAAGGCACCCCCGCAUCUCUGCAGGGUUCUCUGGAUGUCAAGACCAGGUAAGGUUCUUCGCGUUGCGUCGAAUUAAACCACAUGCUCCACCGCUUGUGCGGGCCCCCGUCAAUUCAUUUGAGUUUUAAUCUUGCGACCGUACUCCCCAGGCGGUCAACUUAGUGCGUUAGCUGCGCCACUAAAGACAUUACGUCCCCAACGGCUAGUUGACAUCGUUUACGGCGUGGACUAC